AUGUUGAGCUGUAACUGCAAAAGGUGGGAAUUGUCUGGUAUACCUUGUCAUCAUGCAAUUGCUUGUUUUAGGCAUGAGAGAAUUGAGCCUGAGAGCAUGGUCCAUUCAUGCUACACUGUUGAGGAGUACAAGAAGUGUUAUGGCUUCAAUAUGAGGCCAAUGAGGGAUCCAGAGGAAUGGGAAAAGAUGCAUGGCAAUCCUGUUUUUCCACCCAUAUACACCAAAGUAAUGGGCAGGCCCAAGAAAAGUAGGAAAAAAGAUCCAGAGGAGAAGAAGGAUAAGAAAGGAGUUAGGAAGUUGACCAAGCAUGGUGUUAGCAUGCAUUGCUCUGUUUGUGGGGGCGCUGAUCAUAACAAGAAAGGGCAUUACAAACACGUGAAUCAACCACCUACCGAGGAAGCACCUGGGGAAUCAGAAGAAGAAUACGAUGAUCCAAGCAUAAUUGCUAACAUUAUGCCACACAGAGUUUACCCACAGUUUGAUCCAACACAAACUCCAGAUUCUAUGGUUUACAAGAUGCAGGAAAGGGAAAAAUUUACAUACCCUGCACCUAUGGACUUUGGUCCCCUGCCUGAGUCUAGCUUUAUUGCUAAUGCUAGGGACACAAUCCUUAUAGGCAGGGUGACAACAGCCAUGUCCAGGGGCAGGGUGAGAGGAGGAACAAGUGGAAGCAAUGCAACACGAGGAGGAAGAAGUGCAAGAAAUGCAACAAGGGGUGGUAGAAGUGGUACCAAUGCAAGAAGGGGAGGAAGAAGUGCAAGCAAUGCAACAAGGGGAGGCAGAAUAGUAAGCAAUGCAACAAGGGGAGGAACUGCUCCAAGUGCAACUAGAGGUGGCAAUUACCCAAGUGGAAGUAAUCCUCCCUGA
rnacentral:rRNA from 1 species